rnacentral:rRNA from 1 species
GACGAACGCUGGCGGCGUGCUUAACACAUGCAAGUCGAACGGAAAGGCCCUGCUUUUGUGGGGUGCUCGAGUGGCGAACGGGUGAGUAACACGUGAGUAACCUGCCCUUGACUUUGGGAUAACUUCAGGAAACUGGGGCUAAUACCGGAUAGGAGCUCCUGCUGCAUGGUGGGGGUUGGAAAGUUUCGGCGGUUGGGGAUGGACUCGCGGCUUAUCAGCUUGUUGGUGGGGUAGUGGCUUACCAAGGCUUUGACGGGUAGCCGGCCUGAGAGGGUGACCGGCCACAUUGGGACUGGGAUACGGCCCAGACUCCUACGGGAGGCAGCGGUGGGGAAUAUUGCACAAUGGGCGGAAGCCUGAUGCAGCACCGCCGCGUGCGGGAUGACGGCCUUCGGGUUGUAAACCGCUUUCGCCUGUGACGAAGCGUGAGUGACGGUAUGGGUAAAGAAGCACCGGCUAACUACGUG